rnacentral:lncRNA from 1 species
AUGGGCAGCUCCUGCUUUCCUGAGGGAGGAGGGGUCAGGGCAGCCAGGAGUCCUGUGCCUGGGGUCCCACAGGACUGCGGGUGCGUGGACUGUGAGUGUGGGACAGUGUGUGUGUGUGUGUGUGUGUGUGUGUGUGUGUGGAAUGAGUGGCAGAUAAGAGACGACCCCUCCUCUUCCUCUGUUCAGAGCCUCUCCUGUCCACCUUUUCACCACGGCCCUCUCUACCUUUCGUUUUCAUUUUCUUGGAGCACAGCUGAUUUACAGCGUCGUGGUAGAUUCGCAUGCACAGCCACGGGAUUCAUGUGUGUAGGAAGAGGACAUUGGAGAAAUUUUCAUGAAAAUUACGGUGUCUAGACUUGGGGAGCUGUGGGGAGCGCUAGGGGAAGGUUUAAUUGCAGCGUUGAGAAGACACAUGAAGACGGCAGGGUUUUGCAAGUCUCUUCUGAGGACAAAGCCGCACGGAGUUGUGGUUUUCCCGAUUGCCCUGACAUUGCCUGUCAUGUCAGGGAUGCCUUGGGUGUUUUGUCUGAGCAUUUAGGGUUGCCAAAGUGUUUGUCUCCUCAAGAAAAAGUUGCAAGGAUCUGCAGAGAAAGCUGUGCUGCCGUGCUUUGGUCUUCACCAGUCUUACUGUCAGCGGGAGCCGUCGCAAAGGGGGACAGAGGCAGACCUGAAGAUACUCCCUGCAUCUUUUGGAGAAAUAGAGGAAGUGAUGAGGAUGGAGCCGCCUACCUUGCCAAGUCUGGUUACCGGGUGUUUCUGGUUACCAAGGACACAGAUUCAAUGGCAUGUGUCCUUCAGCCUACUGUUGGGAGGACCAAGCAAAAUGCUUCCCUUGCUAACAUAUAGUAAAGCCAGGCUCACUGGUAUCCAGUUAACUAGAAAUCCCCAUGAGUCGGCCCUUCUCCACCUGGAGAGGACAAAGUGACUGGUGUUCGUGAUGAUGCCUGGAAGGUUCCAGGCCAUCCCCAAAUGCCUUUUGCUUUUCCCA